GGCUUGGUAGCUCAGCGGUAGAGCAAGGGACUCAUAAGCCCAAGGUCGACAGUUCGAAUCUGUCCCAAGCCA
rnacentral:tRNA from 2 species